UACAGAGGUCUCAAGCGUUUGUUCGGAUUCAUUGGGCGUAAAGGGUGCGUAGGCGGCGCGGUAAGUCGGGUGUGAAAUCUCGGGGCUUAACUCCGAAACUGCAUUCGAUACUGCCGUGCUUGAGGACUGGAGAGGAGACUGGAAUUUACGGUGUAGCGGUGAAAUGCGUAGAUAUCGUAAGGAAGACCAGUGGCGAAGGCGGGUCUCUGGACAGUUCCUGACGCUGAGGAGCGAAAGCGUGGGGAGCGAACAGG
rnacentral:rRNA from 1 species